GGACUGCGGGGCUCUGAGGGAGAGCUGCCUGGAGACAGGGCAGCUGUUCGAGGAUGACUGCUUCCAGGCUCUGCCCUCAUGCCUGGGCAAACUCGAAAAGGGUGCGGGGCAUCAUCUGGAAGAGACUCUUGGAUGAAUGGAUGCUACGAGGCUCUCAAAGGACGCAGCAUCAUUGAGGAUUUUGAGGACCUCACCGGAGGCAUUUCUGAGAGUCAUGACCUGAGGAAGGCUGAUCCCCAUCUCUUAAAAAGCAUUGAGAAGGCCCUGGACUGAGGGUCCCUUCUGGGAUGCUCCAUUGAUGUUUUUUUGACUUUCUUGUUUUACUUUCAUGGAGCAUUGUUGGUGUUCUCUCGGGAUCUGGUGGUUUUGACCUCACUACUUUUUCCUCUCAGUCCCUGUGCCAAUCCACGAUUGAUUCAAGAGCUGUCUACAAUCGCGGGCUGUUGACAGAUCAUCCCUAUUCAUUGACGGGAGCGGAGCAGGUGGAAUACAACGGGGAAAUGGUGCAGUUGAUCAAUCUCAUCCCAUUAUCCAAAAAUAAAGCCAAAAUAUCCUUGAUGCACAGGCUGCCAUCUUGCACCGAUGACAUUGUUUUGGAGACAGUCUGGACAGUAGACAUCUUGAGAUGCAGCCAACGGAACGAAGGGCCACUAGGGUUGCAAAAUUUCGGGAAUAUUCAUAACUGGAAACUUUCCAUGGGAAUUAACGGGAAUAUAAGGGAAUAUACAGGAAUAUACGGGAAUUAACGGGAAUAAACUGGAAAUGUUGUAAAUAUUAACUUUUUUUUUUUCAUAGGGUGAUUUGAGCCCUGAGGAAACUUGGGCAAUUGGCAUAUGCUUCUGCAUCUUUGUGUCAUUCUUAACAUAGGUCUUUGCACAGUAUUUGCAAAUGUACACAGCCUUUCCUUCUACAUUGGCUGGAGUGAAAUGUCUCCACACAUGAGAUAGUGCAUGUGGCAUUGUUUUGUAGAAUGUAAGUCGCUUUGGACAAAAGCGUAAGCUAAAUGACAUGUAAUGUAAUGUAAUGUAGAAUAAGAUGACAAAAAAGCACUAAUGCAAUGCCAGAGAAAUAAAUAGUUGGCCCAACAAUUGGAAUCGUCUUUAAAAAUAUUUUUCAAUUGAUGGAUAAUUAAUAGAAAUAGGCUAGAUGAACAGAUGAACAAUCCUCAAUCAGCAUGCUAAUAUAUUUUCCCCAGUAAUAUCAUCGAAACUUACCUGACUAGUCCUGCACACUACAGCAGGCCUCAAUAGCCCUGCUGUAGUGUGCAGGAUCCUUGGAAUAAUCUGUGCAUGUGAUGGAGAAAUGCACAGUGGAGGGUUGAAAUUCAACGUGCAGAGUGUGCUGCAUUCCAUACAUCUUUAAAAUAGAGUUUUGAAUGAUGUUUUUAUUGCAUGAUUUGUAACUUAUACUUCUGCCUGCCACCAGGGGGCAUUCAAGGUGCUUUGGCUUAACUGCAAGGGAGCAGUGAUGUUGUUCAUUUUAAUACACAUUAUGUGGUGAACAUGGACCCAUUAUUCCUAUUAAACUCCAGCACUGAACCUCACAGCCCAAUGGAUGUAGACACUUGAGUACUUGGACUAACUAUCCACUGUAGAAUAUGAAGACAUAUUUACCUGAAAAAGCAUAAAUCAUGUCAAGAAAGUGUUUCAGCUACAUUUUAGACUGAGCUGUGGAAGUGUGAUAAAAUUAUUAAUACAAAUUUAAUUCAUUUUUUAGUUUAUGUCAUGAAUGGGCCCAUUGCAGUUAAUUGCAGUUAAAUCACACCUGUAAGAGGACCCAGCGCUAUUGACUCAUCCUUUGUUUUUAUGAGGGUGUUAAGUGUGUACUCUUCUGUCAUGCGUGUAACCCUCUGAAAUGUUUUCAAACCCAGUGGCAGGUAAAUCCUGUUGUUUCAAAGACUUAUUUGUGUGUUCGAGUUGUGGAUGGAGGACUUGUGUGGCGCUCACUUCACAGUGCUUCUUAUUUGUGCAAAACACUAUUCAACUUACUCACACCCAAAUUCUAGUUCUGGCCACUGGAGAUGUGUGAGUGAUGACGAUCGGAAGGCUGACCAACAGUUCUGACAACGAGGAGUUCUGGAUAUAAUUUCCUGACUUCCUGCAUGAAUAUUCUUACCUUGAGAUCUGCAACCUCCCCCUCGAAUACUCGAAGUGGGUAGAGUCCGAGUUUGAAGGCACAUCGAGGAAUAACGUGUCAGCUGGCGGCAUCAGAAACUUUAUAGGUACAACCAGUUUCAUAAUUUUUGCAUAAUUACCACUCCAGAUUUGAACCCAUCCCUGAUUUAUUUGUCUGGAUGAGGUGGAUGAUACCGUGAUGAUGGGGAGGAGGGCUGCAGCUUAAUCGUGUGCUUGAUGCAGAAGAGCAGACACAGGUACCAGCCUCGCUGGACAAUUGUUUUUUCCAUCUACGAGCUGCCUGAGGAGGUACAUAAGCAAAGAUGAAGACACUUCAUGAACUUGUUGCUUGGAGCCGUCGUUUUUAAUGAAGAAUGAGCAUUCAAAGCAACUGUCUCAUUAAUGUUCAAUUCAAAAUAUAAAAACAACGAGGUGCAAUGGAUGGUGUGUAUGCAGUGCCCUCAUGUGACCAAACUGCACAUGUUUUUUUCCAGUACUCUGGCAAAAGGCAGGUUCACCUGACGAGGGACUUCUUCGAGUACAACCGAUCAGUAGCACUCUCCGAGAACUUCAUCGACAAUCGAGAAGUGUGCAGCCGCUUCUGUCUUCCCCCUGGAGAAUACCUCAUCAUCCCCUCCACCUUCAUCCCAGAGAGGAAGGAGACGUCUAUAUGCGGAAUAUUCUAUAUUCUAAAGGGGCUGAUUUCCAUUACGCUCAUUUCAUAAUUUUUUUUAUGUAAUUUAUAAUCACAGUGUUCAGAAUGAUCAUAUGAUGUGACUUUUGGCUUUCAGGGAGUUUGAUGAUCCUGUGGACGAGGAAGUAAAUAAUAUCCCUUGAUGUAUGCAGUGGCUGUCUCUGGCAAUGGUGUAGUAGAAGACUGUUACAGAAAAGGAUCCAGUUUUGUGUUGAAGUAUCAUCAUAUCUGGUUUCAGGUUUUCUGGUGAAUGUCUUUGCGAUGAAUGGAUAUUCAAUUUCAGUGAAAACUUUCCCCAGUUGUCUGAUAAUCCAUUAACAAA